rnacentral:rRNA from 1 species
GACGAACGCUGGCGGCGUGCUUAACACAUGCAAGUCGAACGGAAAGGCCCUGCUUGCAGGGUGCUCGAGUGGCGAACGGGUGAGUAACACGUGGGUGAUCUGCCCCUUACUUUGGGAUAAGCCUGGGAAACUGGGUCUAAUACUGGAUAGGACCAUGCUGUAGGUGGUGUGGUGGAAAGAUUAGUUUCGGUAAGGGAUGAGCUCGCGGCCUAUCAGCUUGUUGGUGGGGUAAUGGCCUACCAAGGCGUCGACGGGUAGCCGGCCUGAGAGGGUGGACGGCCACAUUGGGACUGAGAUACGGCCCAGACUCCUACGGGAGGCAGCAGUGGGGAAUAUGGCACAAUGGGCGCAAGCCUGAUGCAGCGACGCCGCGUGGGGGAUGACGGCCUUCGGGUUGUAAACUCCUUUCAGCCAUGACGAAGCCCUUGUGGUGACGGUAGUGGUAGAAGAAGCACCGGCUAACUACGUG